CAUCGGAUGACUGAAAGCAAGUAAUGGUCUCUUAAACCAAAUGAUAGUAAAUUAGCAACUACUUCUGAUGA
rnacentral:tRNA from 1 species